AUGCAGAGUCAAAACAUCUAUCAGCCCUUAACUCUAUUCUGGUCAAUUGGAUUUUUCAAAAGCAGUCUUAUCGUAGCAACGACAGAAUAUACGUAUAAAGACCAUUAUGAAAUGAAAGACAUAUGUGUAGAGCAUAAACUUAUCCCCGAUGUGAUCUCUGAGGCACCUGAGGAUGAGAUAGAGCUAGCGUAUAAUGAAUACGACUAUGUACACUACGGCACUUAUUUAACAGUAGAUCAAAUCAAAGAAAAACCCACACUGAUCAGAUGGCCUUUUUUACCAAAUUUACUGUACACGCUCCUGUUAAUUAGCCCAGAUCACCCGACUCGAGAAAACCCGGAAGAAAAAGAAUGA
rnacentral:lncRNA from 1 species